GUCCUCACUUCAGCAAGACAUUUACUAAAAUUAGAAUGAUACACAAGAGAUUAGCAUGGCCCCUGCUCAGAGAUGACACACAAUUUAUGAAGCAUUCUAUAUUUUU